CAGGACGAACGCUGGCGGCGUGCCUAACACAUGCAAGUCGAACGGAACCGUUAGUUAAUUCUUCGGAAAGCGAUUUUCGGUUUAGUGGCGGACGGGCGAGUAACGCGUGAGCAACCUGCCUUUCAGAGGGGGAUAACGUUUGGAAACGAACGCUAAUACCGCAUAACAUAUAUUUAAGGCAUCUUAGAUAUAUCAAAGGAGCAAUCCGCUGAAAGAUGGGCUCGCGUCCGAUUAGAUAGUUGGUGGGGUAACGGCUCACCAAGUCGACGAUCGGUAGCCGGACUGAGAGGUUGAACGGCCGCAUUGGGACUGAGACACGGCCCAGACUCCUACGGGAGGCAGCAGUGGGGAAUAUUGCACAAUGGGGGAAACCCUGAAUGCAGCAACGCCGCGUGAGGGAAGAAGGUUUUCGGAUUGUAAACCUCUGUCCUUGGUGACGAUAAUGACGGUAGCCAAGGAGGAAGCCACGGCUAACUACGUGCCAGCCGCGGC
rnacentral:rRNA from 1 species